rnacentral:rRNA from 1 species
UACGUAGGUGGCAAGCGUUGUCCGGAUUUACUGGGCGUAAAGGGAGCGUAGGCGGAUUUUAAAGUGAGAUGUGAAAUACCCGGGCUUAACUUGGGUGCUGCAUUUCAAACUGGAAGUCUAGAGUGCAGGAGAGGAGAAGGGAAUUCCUAGUGUAGCGGUGAAAUGCGUAGAGAUUAGGAAGAACACCAGUGGCGAAGGCGCUCCUCUGGACUGUAACUGACGCUGAGGCUCGAAAGCGUGGGGAGCAAACAGGAUUAGAUACCCUGGUAGU